rnacentral:rRNA from 1 species
AAACAUGGUUUUUAGAAAUUAUUAAAAAUCUAACCUGCUCAAUGCUUAGUAAAUAGCCGCAGUAUUUUGACUGUGCAAAGGUAGCAUAAUCAUUUGUCUUUUAAUUGGAGACUGGAAUGAAAGGUUUGACUAAAUAUUUUUGUCUUAUAAUGAUAUUUUGAAAUUUAUAAUUUAGUAAAAAAGCUAAAAUUAUAUAUAGGGACGAGAAGACCCUAUCAAGUUUUACAAUCAAAAAUUUAUUUUCAAAUUAAAUAAAAAAUUGUUUUGCUGGGGCAGCAGAUAAAAUUUUUUUAUUUUUACAUUAUGAUAAAUAAAUCUUGAAAAAUCAAAAAAUUUCUAAUUAAGAAUAAAUUACUGUAGGGAUAACAGCAUAAUUUUUUUAAAGAGUUCUUAUCAUCAAAAAAGUUUGUGACCUCGAUGUUGGAUUAAAAUUCCUGCUUCGUGCAAUAAUGAAGUAAGGAAGUCUGUUCGACUUUUAAAUUUUUCCAUGAUCUGA